rnacentral:rRNA from 1 species
CUAUACGGAGUUACAAAAGAAAGUUAUAAAUGAAGCGGUCUGGAAAGGCCCGCCAAAGACGGUAACAGCCCGGUAGUUGAAAUGGCUUUCCCUCCAGAGUGGAUCCUGAGUACGGCGGAACACGUGAAAUUCCGUCGGAAUCCGGGAGGACCAUCUCCCAAGGCUAAAUACUCCCUAGUGACCGAUAGUGAACCAGUACCGUGAGGGAAAGGUGAAAAGCACCCCGGAAGGGGAGUGAAACAGUUCCUGAAACCGUGUGCCUACAAGUAGUUAGAGCCCGUUAAUGGGUGAUAGCGUGCCUUUUGUAGAAUGAACCGGCGAGUUACGAUUUGUUGCAAGGUUAAGCGGAAAAAGCGGAGCCGUAGCGAAAGCGAGUCUGAAUAGGGCGCAUAAGUAACAGGUCGUAGACCCGAAACCAGGUGAUCUACCCAUGUCCAGGAUGAAGGUAAGGUAAUACUUACUGGAGGUCCGAACCCACGCACGUUGAAAAGUGCGGGGAUGAGGUGUGGGUAGCGGAGAAAUUCCAAUCGAACUUGGAGAUAGCUGGUUCUCUCCGAAAUAGCUUUAGGGCUAGCCUCGAGGUAAAGAGUCAUGGAGGUAGAGCACUGUUUGGACUAGGGGCCCUUCUCGGGUUACCGAAUUCAGAUAAACUCCGAAUGCCAUGUACUUAUACUCGGGAGUCAGACUGCGAGUGAUAAGAUCCGUAGUCGAAAGGGAAACAGCCCAGACCACCAGUUAAGGUCCCCAAAUAUAUGUUAAGUGGAAAAGGAUGUGGGGUUGCUUAGACAACCAGGAUGUUGGCUUAGAAGCAGCCACCAUUGAAAGAGUGCGUAAUAGCUCACUGGUCGAGUGACCCCGCGCCGAAAAUGUACCGGGGCUAAACAUAUUACCGAAACUGUGGAUGAACCUCUUUAGAGGUUCGUGGUAGGAGAGCGUUCUAAGGGCGGUGAAGUCAGACCGGAAGGACUGGUGGAGCGCUUAGAAGUGAGAAUGCCGGUAUGAGUAGCGAAAGAAGGGUGAGAAUCCCUUCCACCGAAUAUCUAAGGUUUCCUGAGGAAGGCUCGUCCGCUC